GAAAAUUUAAUAGUAUAUUUGGUGUUGGGGUAUGCUUACAGGAGAAGAGCCUGAGAGCCACAUGAAGUAACCCUAGAUUGGAUUGCCUGUGGAAGUUCAGUUGUUGUCAGCAUCUCCUCCAGAAGACGUAACGUACAGCCUCUAUGCCCUGUGGAAUUCUGGAGAGUGCAUGCUUUCAUCGGAGACUUCACAAAGCACUCACAACAGGGAGCUGAAAGCACAGACUUCUGCCAAAGGAUCUUCACUCCUGAGAUGUGUUUUCCCGUUAAUUCACUGGAGAUGGAAGCCACUGACCUUCCAACUUAUGGUAUUUUUUUCUUCGACUGUGUAUUCUUUAACAUGCAAAAGAGAUGUCCAGCUUGUUCUGACUGAGGAAAAUGUCAUACCUUAGCACUAUUUAUUUCACAAACGCUAUUUCACAAUGCACACAAUUACUCCAGAAAUUAAAUAAUAUUAAGUAGACUAUGAUCUUUUUCAAAAUAUAUGAAUAAAAGGAAUGUAUGAGAACUGUUGAGUCA
rnacentral:lncRNA from 1 species